UGGGGAAUUUUGGACAAUGGGCGAAAGCCUGAUCCAGCCAUGCCGCGUGAGUGAAGAAGGCCUUCGGGUUGUAAAGCUCUUUUAGUCGGAAAGAAAGAGUUGCAAUGAAUAAUUGUGAUUUAUGACGGUACCGACAGAAAAAGCACCGGCUAACUACGUGCCAGCAGCCGCGGUAAUACGUAGGGUGCGAGCGUUAAUCGGAAUUACUGGGCGUAAAGGGUGCGCAGGCGGUCUUGCAAGUCAGAUGUGAAAGCCCCGGGCUUAACCUGGGAAUUGCGUUCGAAACUACAAGGCUAGAGUGCAGCAGAGGGGAGUGGAAUUCCAUGUGCAGCAGUGAAAUGCGUAGAGAUGUGGAAGAACACCGAUGGCGAAGGCAGCUCCCUGGGUUGACACUGACGCUCAUGCACGAAAGCGUGGGGAGCAAACA
rnacentral:rRNA from 1 species